rnacentral:piRNA from 1 species
AAGAUGUAGAUGGCUGGUGACCUGUGU